rnacentral:rRNA from 1 species
AGUGAACGCUGGCGGUAGGCCUAACACAUGCAAGUCGAACGGCAGCACAGUAAGAGCUUGCUCUUACGGGUGGCGAGUGGCGGACGGGUGAGGAAUACAUCGGAAUCUACUUUUUCGUGGGGGAUAACGUAGGGAAACUUACGCUAAUACCGCAUACGACCUACGGGUGAAAGCAGGGGAUCUUCGGACCUUGCGCGAUUGAAUGAGCCGAUGUCGGAUUAGCUAGUUGGCGGGGUAAAGGCCCACCAAGGCGACGAUCCGUAGCUGGUCUGAGAGGAUGGUCAGCCACACUGGAACUGAGACACGGUCCAGACUCCUACGGGAGUGAGCAGUGGGCACUAUUGGACAAUGGGCGCGAGCCUGAUCCAGCCAUACCGCGUGGGUGAAGAAGCAGUUCGGGUUGUAAAGCCCUUUUGUUGGGAAAGAAAAGCAGGAGGUUAAUACCCCGCUGUUCUGACGGUACCCAAAGAAUAAGCACCGGCUAACUUCGUG